GACGUAGGGCGCGAGCGUUUGUCCGGAUUUAUUGGGCGUAAAGAGCUCGUAGGCGGCUUGUCGCGUCGACUGUGAAAACCCGCGGCUCAACCGCGGGCCUGCAGCCGAUACGGGCAGGCUAGAGUUCGGUAGGGGAGACUGGAAUUCCUGGUGUAGCGGUGAAAUGCGCAGAUAUCAGGAGGAACACCGAUGGCGAAGGCAGGUCUCUGGGC
rnacentral:rRNA from 1 species